UACAGAGGGUGCAAGCGUUAAUCGGAAUUACUGGGCGUAAAGCGCGCGUAGGCGGCUUUGCAAGUCGGGUGUGAAAUCCCCAGGCUCAACCUGGGAACUGCAUUCGAGACUGCAUUGCUAGAGUAUGGGAGAGGGAAGUGGAAUUUCCGGUGUAGCGGUGAAAUGCGUAGAUAUCGGAAGGAACAUCAGUGGCGAAAGCGGCUUCCUGGACCAGUACCGACGUUCAGGCACGAAAGCGUGGGGAGCAAACAGG
rnacentral:rRNA from 1 species